GAUGAAGAACGUAGCGAAAUGCGAUACUUGGUGUGAAUUGCAGAAUCCCGUGAACCAUCGAGUCUUUGAACGCAAGUUGCGCCCGAAGCCACUAGGCCGAGGGCACGCCUGCCUGGGCGUCACACGCCGUUGCCCCCCCAUCUACUCCUUCGGGAUUGCGGGGGGGCGGAUGAUGGCCUCCUGUGCGCCUAGCCGCGCGGUUGGCAUAAAUACCAAGUCCUCGGCGCCGCACGCCACGACAAUCGGUGGUUGCGAAACCUCGGUUGCCCGUCGUGUGCGUUCGUCGCGCAUCGAGGGCUCGAAAAAAUGCUCGGCUCCGGCUGGGCUUUCAACGCGACCCCAGGUCAGGCGGGGUUACCCGCUGAAUUUAAGCAUAUCAAUAAGCGGAGGA
rnacentral:misc_RNA from 1 species